UGCAUCAAUCCCCAGUUCUGAGUUGUUCACUCGAUGAGGGAGUCUCCAUGGCAGAAUAAAGCAUCACUGUAUGGAAACGUCCUACACUGUGUAGUCGAGCCAUCUCCACUCCCUGCGAUGCAGCUUUGACCAGCAUCAUCUUGACAACUGAAAAUGUUGAAGGUUGCUUUUGGUUGAUGUAUUUUACACAGCAGCAGAAAUGAAGUUGGGGGACGCUAACUCCCACUCUGGGCUCCUGUGACUGGGAGAAGUGAUCCUGUUUGGAGAGCGAUCUGACCAGGGAUGACCUGACCUGAGGGCUUGUUGCUUAGCAGUGGUCCUCAGAGGAUGUUUACCAACCAGACCCACGGUUCCUGGCAUGUGAGGCGACAGAAGAGAGUCACUUCAUUUAUGGCCCCUGAGUGACAGAGGCAGCUGGGAGCAUCUCUAAUUUCUACAAGGCAAAAUCGAAUCUUCUGAGGAUUUGUCAUGCUCCCCUCUGACCCAAGUGUACAAGAGGAUUAACUGUUACCUCUCCAGUAAUGACAGUCACAAACGCCCCACCCCUCCCUCCUUCCUCCCUCCUGCAAUGUUCUCCCUAAGUCCAUCCCGGUUCCCACUGCGGCUCGAGUUUGAGCACUCGCAGCCAUUCUCUCUCCCUUUACAGCAGCGGAAUUCCCUCCAACUCGCUCAGGGAUUGGCAAAACAAAAGCCAGGAGGACGGUGCCUGGCAACCACUACUUCCUGCAGGGCCACACAAAAGCACCCACUGCCAGCUGGAACACAAAGGCUUGCCGGGCUCAUUUCUGGGCUGGGGGAGGUAAACGCGCUGUAGUUGUGAUGUAGAAGGACAAGCUGAUGUUUUCCUUCUGGGGAAAAAAUAUCUUGA